UUAAAUUGAAGAGUUUGAUCAUGGCUCAGAUUGAACGCUGGCGGCAGGCUUAACACAUGCAAGUCGAACGGUAACAGGAAGCAG
rnacentral:rRNA from 1 species